UACGGAGGGUGCAAGCGUUAUCCGGAUUCACUGGGUUUAAAGGGUGCGUAGGCGGGCAUUUAAGUCAGUGGUGAAAUACCUGAGCUUAACUUGGGAACUGCCAUUGAUACUAUUUGUCUUGAAUGUCGUGGAGGUUAGUGGAAUAUGUCAUGUAGCGGUGAAAUGCUUAGAUAUGACAUAGAACACCUAUUGCGAAGGCAGCUAACUACGCGAAUAUUGACGCUGAGGCACGAAAGCGUGGGGAUCAAACAGG
rnacentral:rRNA from 1 species